rnacentral:pre_miRNA from 1 species
AAUAAACCAAUUCAUGUGUUUUUAUUAAAUUUUUGACUCUUCGUCUUAUUUGAAAUCUUUUUAUGAUUUAUAUUUUUAUUAUUAUUACAUGAUAAAACAUGAAUAGUACUUUGUUGGUGAUUAAUUUUUUUCAAUUUUUUAAUAAAUUUUUCAAAUAAGACGGAUGGUCAAACGCUCUGUAGAAAAAACUUAGA